rnacentral:lncRNA from 1 species
CACACACACAUAUUAGAUUGUCUUCACAAUUUUUUUACUAUAAGAAUUAAAAUUAUACUUUAUUUCUAGCUAAAUGAAAUAAAAUAUAUAUUGAAUUUUUAUCACUCCAUUUUUACUUUGUAACAGACUCUGUUGUUAAAGACAGUGAACCGGCCGUGUCAGAAUCUACAUGCGUAUCUACUAUUGUGUUUGGUGCUUCUGGUGAUCUUGCAAAAGUGAUCUUGAAAAGAAGACUCUCCCCGCACUCUUGCACAUGUCAUUGUAGUUUGUUGCUCUGGUUGGGUUGUGUUGAUGGUUUUAUGUCAUUAUAGAAUUAGCCUUCCUUGUUUUGAUACUGGACAUGUAUUAUAUUAGAAUGAUAUUUUAUUUCAAUUUUGUUUCAUUUUAUAUAAUAGUGGAAUCAAUAAAAAGAGUGG